GCGCUGGUGUAGCUCAGUGGUUACUUCCUACAACAAAUCCUACUGGGUUUCCUGUAUCAUCGAACCACGGGUGCUGUCCAGUGUUAUC
ensembl:vault_RNA Vault Vault RNA